AUGCACAUGAUAGGAUUGCUUAUGCCCUGUUGUCCAGGGCUAUAUUAAUAAUGUAGAUUAUUCUGCACAAAUCUUAUCAUGAUCCACCAGAAUGUGAAUAUAUGAGGGAAUUUGGUGUUAGUUUUUAGCUGGAAGUUUAUUGUAAGGUUUAUUUGUGGUGGUUGUUUCUACAAUGCUUAUUGCAUUAGUAAAAACAGUGAGGCAGUAUUUUGGAAUGGGUUUAUUAGGGGGAUGAUUAGUCGGUUUCAGACAAAAGAUGGAACAUCAAGAGAGGAACUUCUGUUCCUGUUAUUCCAAGUGAGUUAUCUCAUGUUGUUUUUACUAUUGUUGGUGUGUUUUCAAGCUGGUCAAUAAUAUAGUAAAUGUAUAAGAUAUGGAAAUUAAACUUUGGCUCAUUCCUAUAUACCCUUAUGAAAAAUUAAUCUACUUCCCUCCCCCUUUAACUUUAUAAAAUUUUGUGCCAUUAUAUUAAAUUAUCUCCCAAUAGAAUUUACAAAGGAAUGAUUUAAUGUUUUCCCCAGCUUAGAAUCAGAGAAACUUCUUGGUGCAUCAUCCAGCAGUGAUUUGCAGAAUUGUCUUGUGCAGCUUAGGAGACGUAUGUUGAACCUCCACCAGCCUGUAGGUGUGGUGGUUGUGCAGAGGCUGCAUUGGACAUGCGUUCAUUUAAUUUGAAACUGCUAACAUCAAUAGGCUUUAGUUUGUGCCAAGAAUCGGUAUCCAUUACCCAGGGUAUAAAAGAAGUGUGGCAAAAGUUCAGUCGUUAUGAAGAAAAGAAGUGUGCCAGACUUCGAACAUCAUUGACUUGCAAGAUUGUUUUAUCCUGUGUAGCUGAGAAGACAGAUAUGCACCUUCAACCUCCAUGAGCUUGUAGGCAUAGUGUUUGUGCAGAGGAUGCAAUGGCAGUGUGUUCAUAUGAGAAGUGUGCCAAGCUUCAAUAAUCAUGAAGAAAAGAAGUGUGCCAGACUUCAAACAUCAUUGAUUUGCAAGAUUGUUUUAUCCUGUGUAGCUGAGAAGACAGAUAUGCACCUUCAACCUCCAUGAGCCUGUAGGCAUGGUGUCUGUGCAGAGGAUGUAAUGGCAAUGUGUUCAUCAUUAAAUUUGAAACCCUAACACAACUAGUCUUCAGUUUGGUCCAGGGAUUAAAAAUCAUUAUUCAAGAAAAGAAUCUGCCAAACUUCAGUCAUCAUGAGGAAAUGAAGUGUGCCAGACUUCAAACAUCAUUGAUUUGCAAGAUUGUUUUAUCCUGUGUAGCUGAGAAGACAGAUAUGCACCUUCAACCUCCAUGAGCCUGUAGGCAUGGUGUCUGUGCAGAGGAUGUAAUGGCAAUGUGUUCAUCAUUAAAUUUGAAACCCUAACACAACUAGUCUUCAGUUUGGUCCUGGGAUUAAAAAUCAUUAUUCAAGAAAAGAAUCUGCCAAACUUCAGUCAUCAUGAGGAAAAGAAGUGUGCUAGACUUCAAACAUCACUGAUUUGCAAGAUUGUUUUAUCCUGUGUAGCUGAGAAGACAGAUAUGCACCUUCAACCUCCAUGAGCCUGUAGGCAUGGUGUCUGUGCAGAGGAUGUAAUGGCAAUGUGUUCAUCAUUAAAUUUGAAACCCUAACACAACUAGUCUUCAGUUUGGUCCUGGGAUUAAAAAUCAUUAUUCAAGAAAAGAAUUGCCAAACUUCAGUCAUCAUGAGGAAAAGAAGUGUGCUAGACUUCAAACAUCACUGAUUUCCAAGAUUGUUUUAUCCUGUGUAGCUGAGAAGACAGAUAUGCACCUUCAAACUCCUUGAGCCUGUAGGCAUGGUGUCUGUGCAGAGGAUGCAAUGGCAGUGUGUUCAUCAUUAAAUUUGAAACCCUUACACAACUAGUCUUCAGUUUGGUCCUGGGAUUAAUAAUCAUUAUUCAAGAAAAGAAUCUGCCAAACUUCAGUCUUGAUGAGGAAAAGAAGUGUGCCAGACUUCAAACAUCAUUGAUUUGCUUGUAAGAUUGGUUUAUCCUGUAUAGCUGAGAAGACAGAUGUUCACCUUCAACCUCCAUGAGCCUGUAGGCAUGGUGUCUGUGCAGAGGAUGCAAUGGCAGUGUGUUCAUCAAUUAAUCUGAAGCUGCGAGCAUCAGUAGUUUUCAGUUUGGGCCAAGGAUCAGUAUCCAUUACUCAAGAAAAGAGGGGUGCUAAAUUUCAAUCAUCAUAAAGGAAAGAGAAGUGUGCCAAACUUCAACCUUCAUGAAUUAAUUUGCAAGAUUGUUUUAUCCUGUGCAGCUGAGAAGACAGAUAUUCACCUUGAACCUCCACUAGCCUGAAAGCAUGGUAUCUGUGCACAGGAUGCAAUGGCAGUGUGUUCAUCAAUUCAUCUGAAACUGCUAACAUCAGUAGUUUUCAGUUUGUGCCAAGGAUCAGUAUCCAGUACUCAAGGAAAGAUGUGGCCAAACUUCAGUCAUCAUAAAGCUGAAAAGUGUAUUAAUUAAUGCAUGGAAAGAUAUGUAUUCUUCAUGAGGAAAAUACAGUCAUCAUAAAAGAAUUUUUCAAUCCUUGAUGUGCAUGCACAGCAUUGAACUGUGAUGACAUUAUGGUAAUGUAUUUCACAAAAUUUCCCUUGCUGAUCAUCAUUGAUAUUUUCAGGCAUGGUUGUUGUGCAUAGGAUACAUUGGCAGUGUUCAUGUGAUUUUCCCUCAUUGAUUUUAUAUUUCCUGACAUGCCAUGAUAGUUUGCAUAGUUCAACAGAAGAAAAUACUGUAGACACUUUUCUGCUGAGAAGGAAAAUAUAAAUUUAUUUUUCUAUGUAUUGCAUAUCAAUUCUUAUCUUUCUUUUCUUUUGCUGCAGUUAAAUUGAUAAAGUCAACAUCAAUAAUCUUAGAGUUCAGAACGGCAAAGGAUCAGUAACUGUUACUGAAGAUAUAUAUAUGUAAGCGUCUUUCCCCUCUCUACACUCUCACUGAUAUACUAUAAUUAGUUUUCACAUACAAGUGAAAUUCCUUAAUUAAUCCUAAAAAAAGGAGUGAAAACUGCAAAAGUAAAAAGUUGAUUGAUACACUCAUCUUGUGAUUACAUUCACAAAUUAAGUCAUUCCAUUUGUGGAGAAUCUAUUUUUUGGAUGUUAAAGAAUAAUAUUUAUUAAAGAUCAUUGUAAACAAAAUUAUUAAUAUAGUUUUCCUAUCAUAAUGUUUGUAAGAAAAAGCAAGUUCAGUUUGAACACAGCUGAUUUAACUCAUGUCUGUGCUAUAUAUGCUCAAUGAGCUAAGGAAUUUUGUUCCUUGCAGAAAAGAUGUUCUAAUUCAUUAUUUAUGUUCCUGUCCUAAUUUGUUAUUUAUGUAACUUCAUUAUUUAUGUUCCUGCUCUGAUUCAUCAUUUAUGUUCCUUAAGAAAUACUGAUAGUAAUAGAGAUAAAAAAAAAGUCAGGAAAGUUGCAGAUUGUAUAUAACACUGUCAAGAGGGUUCUCUCCAAUUCCCUCUUGAUAAUGGUCUUUGUAUGAGAUCCAAGAAAAUAUUUUGUAGAGUAGGUGUAGCAACAUUAUCUAUUGCAACCCUAUUUAAAAAAUUAGAUGAACACAUGGCAAAGUGAAGAUAAGCACCUGAGACUCAUCCACUCAUGCCAGAUAUCCUUCAACUAGCCAAAAACCCCUUCAUCAAGAGAAAAUGUCAAAAUUUCUUUAGAUUUAACUCCUCUUUUGACUUUGGCACCUAACCAAAAAAUAUCUGAUAACUUUACCUCAUCUUUUCCUCCUGUAUUUCAGCCUUAUGGCACCACUGCCAUCUCACCUAUUUCUAAAGCUGAACUCUUGCUAAAACCUUGGCUAAAAGCUCUAUCCUUGGUGAUUCUGGGCUUGUUCCUCCCUCUCCACCCUCUGACUACUUCAUGCUACCCAUUAAGAUCCUUUGCAGUGAUAUUUUCCAUGCCCUUGCCAGCCUUAACCUCAGAAGCCUUAUGGACCUGAUGGGGUCCCACCUAUUGUUCUCUGAAACUGUACAUCCAUGCUUGCACCUUAUCAAACUCUUCCAACUCUGUAUCAACAUCAACCUUUCUUUCUUGCUGGAAGUUUGCCUACAUUCAGCCUUUUCUUAAAAAGGGUGACUGUUCUAAUUCCUCAAACUAUUUUCAUAUUGCUUUUAUUUCCUGCCUCUCUAUCCUUAACAGGAAGAUUCAUAAAUAUAUAUCGCUUCACAACCUUGUAUCUGAUCACCAGUAUGGGUUCUGUCAAGGCUGCUCUACUAGUGAUCUUUUAGCUUUCCUUUCUGAGUUUUAGUCAUCCUCUUUUAGGGAUUUUGGUGAAACUUUUGCUAUUCCUUUAAACAUAUCAAAAGCUUUUGAUGGAGUCUAGUACAAAGCUUUGAUUUCCAAAUUAGCCUCCUAUGGCUUCUAUUUUCUCUGCAACUUGAUUUCAAGUUUCCCUUCUGACCAUUUUAUUGCUGCUGUGGUAUACAGUCACUGUUCUAAGUCUAUUAUAAAUGGUGUUCCUCAGGAUUCUAUCCAGUCACCCACUCUUUUCCUAUUAUCCAUCAAUGGUCUUCUAACCUGAACUUCUUGUCCUUUCCACACCUAUGCAGAUGAUACCAUCCUGCACUUUUCCAUGGACAUCCAACCCUCCAGGAAUGAAACACCUCACUCAGGAAAGCCACAGAGUGCCUGACUUCUGAUCUCCCUAAAAUUCUGACUGGGGCAGAGCAAACUGAAUAUUGUUCAUUGCCUUAAAAACUUAAUUCGUUUGUCUAUUAACUUGACACUACCUUCCAGGUAACUGCCCCAUUUUCUUCAAUGGUACUCAGCUGUCCCUCUCUUCUGCACUGAACAUCCUUGGUCUGUCCUUUACUUAUAAUCUAAACUGGAAACUUCACAUCUCAUCUCUAGUUGAAACAGAUUCUAUGAAAUUAGGUAUUCUGAGUUAUUUUUACACCCCCCCCCCCAACCCCCGAGCUGCAACUCUUUACUGAGGCCUUAUUUGUCCAUGUGUGGCAUAUGCUUCACAUGCACUGGGGGCAGGAAGGGGGUUCCACUUUUAGACAUGGUGGAAUCAAAAGCAUUUCAUCUUAUUAACUCCUCUUAACUGUCUGUCUUCAGUCUUGUCUCUUGUCUUGUUGCAGAGUUGCAUCUCUUGCUAUCUUCUAUCUCUAUUUUUACACAAAUUGCUCAUCUGAUCUUUCUAACUGCAUGGCUCCCCUCCUCUGCAGCCUCACUGCACAAGACUUUCUACUUUCCCUCGCCCAUAUUCUGUCCACCUCUCUAAUGCAAGAGUUAACCAUUAUUCUCAUUCAUUUGUCUAUCUCAAGUAAACUCUGGAACUUC